UUCACGCGCGUCUGUGGUUGCAAGUCGAUGCCAGUCGCAGGCGAAACGAUCCACGUAAGCCGGGAAAAUUCCGGUGAGCAUGGUGCGGCUUAGAGGUAAGUCCUGCCGAAACGAUAUUCUGUUCGAGAGCUGCAGUAGUGGGGAGGCAGAGUCCUUAGGAGCGAACCAGCCAGCAGGCGAGUGUGGGGUCAAAGACCAGGUCAGGCGCGUGAA
ncrna:unclassified sequences raiA RNA